AGUGCUUGUGGCAGCUGUCUUCUCUGAACAGCAGUCUGGUGAACACCGUACUGUUUCGGCCUCAGUACACUGAAGAUCUAAGAAAACACUUCACACCCUACAGCCCCUAAAAAUAACCCAGAUUUGACAGCAGUGCACACCCAUCUGAGGCCAACCUGUUUUACUUCAUGAUCACCCCAGAUACUUCUACAACUAACCCGCU